rnacentral:rRNA from 1 species
GACCUCGUGCUAUAAGAUGAGCCUACGUCGGAUUAGCUUGUUGGUGGGGUAAUGGCCUACCAAGGCGACGAUCCGUAGCUGGUCUGAGAGGACGAUCAGCCACACUGGGACUGAGACACGGCCCAGACUCCUACGGGAGGCAGCAGUGGGGAAUAUUGGACAAUGGGGGAAACCCUGAUCCAGCAAUGCCGCGUGUGUGAAGAAGGCCUUCGGGUUGUAAAGCACUUUCGGUGGGGAAGAAAUUCUCAAGGGUAAUAUCCUUGGGCGUUGACGUUACCCACAGAAGAAGCACUGGCUAACUCUGUGCCAGCAGCCGCGGUAAUACAGAGAGUGCAAGCGUUAAUCGGAAUCACUGGGCGUAAAGCGCGCGUAGGUGGAUAUUUAAGUCGGAUGUGAAAGCCCUGGGCUUAACCUGGGAAUUGCACCCGAUACUGGGUAUCUUGAGUAUGGUAGAGGGAAGUGGAAUUUCCGGUGUAGCGGUGAAAUGCGUAGAUAUCGGAAAGAACACCAGUGGCGAAGGCGACUUCCUGGACCAAUACUGACACUGAGGCGCGAAAGCGUGGGGAGCAAACAGGAUUAGAGACCCUGGUAGUCCACGCCGUCAACGAUGAGAACUAG